UUUGUUGACAAAUUCCGGCGGAAAAUUAACUUGAGCUGCUAAUAGGCAAUGUUUACUAGUGUUAUCUUGUUUAUAAUUUGAUUGAAUGACUAAUUAGUAUUGUAUCAUUUAGUUACAAUGUGAAUAUUAAAUUUCUCUUAAUGAACAGAAGGAAUUUUCAAUAUCGUGUUCCAUAACAAAGAUGCUAUUAUUUGAUGAAACAUGCAACAAUUUUACUCAAUGAAAGUUUAUCAAGAUGGUGCGUUUUGAGACAGUAAAUCAUUAACAAAUUAUCUUGGAUAAUAAACAUUCUUUUCCAAAUAUUUUAUCAUGAUGCAAACAGCUACUCAAUUUGAAUGACAUCUGGAGAAGUCGGACUGCUUACAAUGGAACCUGCAUUAAACGAAGCGAUGCCAAUGAAAUAAGUGACUACCGCAGUUAUCAAAGUUCCAGUUAUAGAUGGACAGACUAACAUUUUACCAAAAAUUGUGAUCCCAAAACUCUGGUGGUAGAUUCGUUGCAGAAAUAGCUCUGACUUGAUAUGGUAAUCCAAAACGGAUGUAUUUUAUAAAUGGAGACAGGAAAGAAAAGAAGAAACAUUGAUUAAGCUUUAAUCUAUCAUCUAUAGUCUUGUACCUCAAUUAUUAAUGAUGGAUCCUUGGUAGAAAGGCUGACAUUUAAGAUAGACAUUCUUGGUUUAGUCGUAUAAGCUGGAAUCAUUGAAAUGCUUCGAGUGAUAACAAGUAAUCGGAGUGCUUGAAAAAAAAGCUCGGUUAUGUGGUAGACAAGGUACGAAGAGCUGGUGUAGAUUAGAUCAUAAACUAAAGUGACACAUUUGGGAAUCACAAGAAGAUAAAAGGCGCCCACAAAAAUAGAAUGGGUUUGAUUCACCAACUCGAUCAAGCGACCAAUUUUCUCAUAAUUAUUUCUUAUGUAUAUCAUCUGGUCAACCCGGUCUGAAUCUUGUAACAUUGUUAACCUUAUUCGGCUCAAUCUUUUUGUUUGACGGGAUAAGCUGUUGUAUGCGCUGUUGAUAAAAGCUGAACAAGUACCUAAAUGGUCAACCAACGUAAUGUAGUAAAAUGCAGCUAUGAAUAAUAGGAUUCGUCUCCCAUAUUGCGCUAUCUUUACCCAGUAAACCUUUGCUUCUGGAGCAAAUAUACCAAGCGCAAUAAUAAGCCAAAACUGCCCCAAACUAAAGAUUAUCACAUCUUUCCGUUGUUGACGUCUAAUUUGCUUAAUAUCAUGUCUCACCUGAUUUUCACCAGAAAGCAUCAAAUCUUUCCAAAUCUCAUCAAAUUUCGCAGAAAAAGUUACCGGGUUGUAAAAAAAUUGAUCGUAAUAUGUAGCCAAGUCACCUGAUGCCGUUAAGCACGUAAAAAAGAUUGCGUUAUUUAUCUCAUUGAUGAUGGAACCUGUCAUAUAUAUUCUGGAAACAAGAAUUGAAGUUGAUGACAAAAGGACAAUGCAGCCUACGACGAAACCAAUGGAUGCAAAAAUUUUGUUAAACAACUGUAAUAUGGGCCAAUCUUGGUAAUUACGAUAAACCAAAUUAUUUUGAACCAGAUAUUGUACUAUCAAAGUACUCUGUUGAUCUUUAAAAUUCACAAUUGAAUGUUUAGACUCAGGAAACAAGUGAAACUCUUUCGAUAAUGACAUUUCUAGAGAAUCAACUUUCAACAAAUAAUCAAGAUGUUUAACUGUCAACUAACCAUAAACUGAACUGAUUAAAGCUAAACAAAAACUAUAGCAACAUAAUGUCACAAUUGAAUGGACAUACACAAAUAGACAAUAUUUAAACAAUAAGUUGUUUAUUCUGCAAUCACUGGAUUUAUUGGUUAAACCUAUGGUUUGACAAUCAAUAUAAAUAAGGCGUAAAUCUCAACAAUUUCAGUAUCAAGUAAGGUCAAAUAUUUCGCAGGAGUCCAAAAAAAGAUCUGGUCUAAAGAUUCAUGAAAAAGGAUGGACAAUGAUAAUGAAGAUAACCCAAAACCAUGAAUGAUAGACCAAAAAUGACCAUAAAAUUGGACUAAAGUAACUUAAAAUAAAUGGACAAGUGAAAACAAUUUCAACCCAUCUCUAGACUCAUUAGCCUAAUUUCAUGUAGAGAGAAACAUUUGGUUGUCUCAUGAUACCCAAAAAGAGAUACCCAAAACCAUUUCUGUCAAGACUUGACCCCCUAAACCUCUCACUCUCCCUAUCAUCCUCCCGUCUCUUCACUUCUCUUCCCUUUGGUUCCUCCUUUUUCACAUAUUUACAAUUUAGAUGAUGAGUAUCUUUUUAACCUUCUCUUGGCCUCUUUCAAUACUUAAGUGAGUCGUAAUUGCUUUUCACUUGAUAAUGAUAAUGAUUGUGAUGAUAAUAACCAUUUCAACUGAUGAUAACAACACCACACAAGACAACACAAACGCUGAUUGAACAUACAAUGUGUUAACCCAUAUUACAAUGCGAAAUAUAUUUCAUUUCGCCUUUUUUAUUUCAUCUAUUUCAUUCAAACCCAUCAUCUCAAUCAUUAUCAUCAUUACCUUUAUCAUCAUCAUUACCAACUCUCUAGACUCUCCCUCAAUAUGUUUAGCUUGCUUAUGUAAAAAUGCCUAAAAAUCGCUUAAUUUGAUUUCAAAUUUUUACCAGAUUUUUAAUUUCCAUCAAAGCAGCGAAAUUAAAUUUCCUUAAAACAAAUGAAGAAACGCUCAUUGUAAUAAUGUUGACCAGAUUGUUAUGCCAACCAAAAUAACUUGAUAUUACAAUGUUGAAUCUCAAUUGAUGCUUUGAUUGAUUGAUGACAGUUCCAAAUGAUUAUUCCAAUCGAAGUCCGUGACCUUUAAUGACAGUCAAACACGAACAAAGACUUGAACUCGCUUGGUUGAUUCAUGAAAUCAAUAUUUUUCUGCCUUUCUCCUCAGUCUGUCUUCCUCUCUCUCUCUCUCUGUAAAUCGUCACUUCAACAUUCAUCAUUUGUGGUCUCUGUUAUCAUCAUUAUCAUCAACAUUAUUAUUUAUAUUAUUGCCAUCCUUCUCAUCAUCAUUACUAUUGCUAUUAUCAUUAGCAACGGUAUUAAAAGCCUAACUACGGACACUCGAAGAUAUCAUUUUUUCACUUUAUGUUUAUCAUCAUAACUACCCUUUUUUUAAUCAUGUUUAACCCAUAAUUUUAUACUUUCAUCUCAACUCAAAUUUCCUUCUCAGUGACAACUUUUUUUUUAUUACAAUUGCUAUUUCAAUAUAUAAACAUAAUACUUGUAUAUAUAUCAUUGUAAAAUUCAGACCUCUCUGUUAUUGUAUUACAAGUAAUUUGUCUUUGUACUUUAUUUUAUCAUUACUUUUGUCAUUUCUUUACAAUCUAAUAUUUACUAUGUUAGUCUGUUUACUGUUAAUAUUGUACAAAUAAAAACAUUUAACAUUGA